CAAGAGACCAAACAGGGACUGCACACUGGUCUGGGCAGCACAGAGGGCUACAUGGAAGGAAAUUCAGGCUGCUGACUGAUUGAUGCUGUGUGCCCAGGAAUGGCUGCAGGCCAGGGUGUGAGCCUGUCUGUCACUGGUUUAGCCACCAUCAAGUCAUCUACCUUUACCAAAAAGCGCUGGAUGGAGGCAACUGCCUCCAAUGAUCCAAGGAACAAGAAGGCCUUUCUCACCAGAGAUCCUAAAUGACAGUUAGAGAUACGAAGAAAGACUCAGCACCACAUGAAGG